rnacentral:lncRNA from 1 species
CCGGGAAGCUGCAGGAAUGUGAUGCAUCUAGACACUUCAUGGUGAGGUAACUAUGAAUGACCUGCUUUUCUUCGUUUACAUUUGACUCAGUAUCAUUUGAAUACUGCGCUUUAUGCGUGAUAUUGCCUUAUUGCUUUUACAACACCCAGAAGACUAGAAGAGCCAGCAGGUCUCUGCCCUCAAGAGUUUGUUUUAUCUGGGAGAAAAUGAGUGGAAGAUGCUCCCGCAGUGCCUCGAAAUGGACAGGAGCCAUGGAGCAGAGGUUCCUGCUGCUUGGUGCUGUCAGAGGUGAAAGCACUGAGCUGCCACUGGCACAAAGGCUACUGGCCAUCCCAUGGUGAGAAACAUCCCACUCAGAGAAUGUGUGCUUCAAGUACUUGCUUUUCCUCCUGGUGAUAAGGAAAACAAAAAGGGAAACAUUCCUAAGGGACUAAGAGUAGAGAGAAUGCUGGAGCUGUGGAUAAGGUGCAAAGAAAAGUGUCACUAGGGAUAGAUUUGGGGUGAGGGUUAAUCAUGGGAGUCAAACAGGGAAGCAAAGGAUGCUGUUCUCUGACUGUCUUACAGACCCAGAUCACAUUAUCCAAACGUGCCCAUUCCUGUCUUUGUGCAUCCUUACCCAGUGACUGCAGAUCCCGACAUCUGUGAGUGCCCCCACUGAUGCGGGGUGGAUGUGAUGUGAUAGCGGAUGCUACAAACUUGAUCAAUUUUCACAAGUUACGCAGUGGUCAAGUAUAUAAAAUCAUGGAAUCAUUAAGAUUGGAAAAGACCACUAAGAUCAUCCUGUCUAAACACUAAUCCAUCCCCACCAUGCCCACUAAAAUGGACUAAAUAAAAUAGGAGAGGAGAGGAGAGGAGAGGAGAGG